UGCGUGCUCACUGCUCUAUCUGUCAGAUUCCGGCUCCGAUUCGGUCCCGGUCACGUUUUCUUCUUCUAAUUGUGUUCCCAUCUCUCACUUUCUCUCUCAUGUGUUCUUCAUCUCUCAAAGGUAUGAAAUGUUAUCUUGGGGUUUUCUUCUGGGGGAAGAGGUUUGGAUUAUCUAUAUCGAUAUUUUGGUAGCCACCCCUUUCAAAUUGGUCAUGCAAAGUCAAAAAGAGAUGAAUACUGCAGGGCUUUUGCGUAACCUAUUUGUAAUAUUCUGUGGUACUGAUUAAGAGUUGAUGUGCUUUGAUCUAUUUAAUUGAUUUCGUCA
rnacentral:precursor_RNA from 1 species